rnacentral:rRNA from 1 species
CCGUAGCUAACGCAUUAAGUGCCCCGCCUGGGGAGUACGGCCGCAAGGCUAAAACUCAAAGGAAUUGACGGGGGCCCGCACAAGCGGCGGAGCAUGCGGAUUAAUUCGAUGCAACGCGAAGAACCUUACCAAGGCUUGACAUUCACCGGACUACCCCAGAGAUGGGGUUUCCCUUCGGGGUCGGUGGACAGGUGGUGCAUGGUUGUCGUCAGCUCGUGUCGUGAGAUGUUGGGUUAAGUCCCGCAACGAGCGCAACCCUCGUUCUAUGUUGCCAGCACGUGAUGGUGGGGACUCAUAGGAGACUGCCGGGGUCAACUCGGAGGAAGGUGGGGAUGACGUCAAAUCAUCAUGCCCCUUAUGUCUUGGGCUUCACGCAUGCUACAAUGGCCGGUACAAAGGGUUGCGAUACUGUGAGGUGGAGCUAAUCCCAAAAAGCCGGUCUCAGUUCGGAUUGAGGUCUGCAACUCGACCUCAUGAAGUCGGAGUCGCUAGUAAUCGCAGAUCAGCAACGCUGCGGUGAAUACGUUCCCGGGCCUUGUACACACCGCCCGUCAAGUCACGAAAGUUGGUAACACCCGAAGCCGGUGGCC